GACGAACGCUGGCGGCGUGCUUAACACAUGCAAGUCGAGCGGUAAGGCCCUUUCGGGGGUACACGAGCGGCGAACGGGUGAGUAACACGUGGGUGACCUGCCCUCAGCUCUGGGAUAAGCCUGGGAAACCGGGUCUAAUACCGGAUAUGACUCCAUGACGCAUGUUGUGGGGUGGAAAGCCUUGUGCGGCUGAGGAUGGGCCCGCGGCCUAUCAGCUUGUUGGUGGGGGAUGGCCUACCAAGGCGACGACGGGUAGCCGGCCUGAGAGGGCGACCGGCCACACUGGGACUGAGACACGGCCCAGACUCCUACGGGAGGCAGCAGUGGGGAAUCUUGCGCAAUGGGCGAAAGCCUGACGCAGCGACGCCGCGUGAGGGAUGACGGCCUGGUGU
rnacentral:rRNA from 1 species